GUACUUUUAUUGUUAAUAAUCUUCAAUUUAAAAAAAAAACUCAAAAUUAAUUUAAAAAUUUUGUGGGCGGUCUUUAAUGUCUCUGAAUUCUUUGUACUUGGCCAAUAAUAACAACAAAAGCCUCCUCACUUAAAACCGAACAAAGUUAAGCUUUCCCCCCAUUUCUAUGGGAAACUCAAAAAUUCCUAUUUACACCAGUGGCACAGGCAAUUUUCUUCAAGUUUGGAAUUGUUUAAACAACUUGAGAAAUUCGGGAAAUCUACUUCAUCUAUGCAGUUUGAAAUCGUGUGUUAAGAAAUCUUUAUUCGUUGGUUGUUUUUGGGACUCACAUUCAUCCUCAAUGUACAUUAAAUAAACAAUGCCUGGCCAAAAGUAAUCAAAAAGAAAUUUUUUCGAUCAAAUGUAAUAGCAUUUCAAUAUUUGUACUAAAAAUAUUUUAAAUGUCUGAAGCGUAAAGAAUUGUUUCUGCUUUAGAUGUGCACACUAAUUUAUCGGUAAAUCAACAUGGAAAACUUGUAUGAAUAAAUUUAUUAUUUGAAUAAAUGUUUCGCGGAAACUCUAA